rnacentral:rRNA from 1 species
AGAGUUUGAUCCUGGCUCAGGACGAACGCUGGCGGCGUGCCUAACACAUGCAAGUCGAGCGAAUGAGGUUCCUUCGGGAGCGGAUUUAGCGGCGGACGGGUGAGUAACACGUGGGCAACCUGCCUCAUAGAGGGGAAUAGCCUUCCGAAAGGGAGAUUAAUACCGCAUAAGAUUGUAGUACCGCAUGGUACAGCAAUUAAAGGAGCAAUCCGCUAUGAGAUGGGCCCGCGGCGCAUUAGCUAGUUGGUGAGGUAACGGCUCACCAAGGCGACGAUGCGUAGCCGACCUGAGAGGGUGAUCGGCCACAUUGGGACUGAGACACGGCCCAGACUCCUACGGGAGGCAGCAGUGGGGAAUAUUGCACAAUGGGGGAAACCCUGAUGCAGCAACGCCGCGUGAGUGAUGACGGCCUUCGGGUUGUAAAGCUCUGUCUUCAGGGACGAUAAUGGCGGUACCUGAGGAGGAAGCCACGGCUAACUACGUGCC